ACUAUUAAUAACAGGAAGAAUAUCAUUUGAUAUCUUAUUCGGAAGACAUUCGUACAUUUUCGGUUUUCCGUGAUAUGUGAUUUCUGGUUGAUUUUGCGACACCUUGCUUAAUUCUUCUCGUACUCUCGAGAUUAUAACUCUGGUUUUCCUGUGAUAAUGAGGAAUUUAAGGGUUGUUGCCUCGAGAUUUCUGGCGAUCUAGAAAUAGAACAGGCUGGUCACUGCGAUAAACCAGACAACCACGUGCCAUGCUACCAUUGCCCACACUGAUGAGGUAGGUUGAGCAUUUCUCAGUUUUUUUUUGUGUUUUUGUAACUCAGGAGAUAACUCAAAUGAACUCACUAUCACAGGAAAACAGUAAAUGUACAGAUGCAUGUCCAUUUACGGAAUAAAUGCAAAGUAAUUGUUUCCCUCUCUGUGCAUGACUCCUCUUGGUCCCUGCCAUCCUCACACACUCAUCCUUUUUCAGCUGGAUAGUAUGAGGGGCUCACAAUUGGAGGUCCAGACAGACAGACCUUGUUAAGAAAAUUGGAUGAAGUCCAUUGGUGCAAACUGGGCUCUGUGCCACUAUCUGUCCAUCUGUCAGCUGUGUCUUCCUGCCAGGAGUCCAGGUUAGAGCCGGCCUUGAGGUAGAAGGGCACCAGGAAGUCCUCGCAGAUCAGGAGAGCUCGUCGGAGGCCCGGCAAACAGUGCAGGUACUGCAGGUAACGCCACAGGAGGAUGGGGCCCUUGCCUUGCUGGCGACAGUGGCGGUGCACAGACAGCACAUGGAUGUGCACAGCAGAGGUGGACGGGACAUGCUGAGUCAUCGCCUCCUGGAGGAAAUGAGCCAAUUCAAACAUAUUAGAUCAAUUUAAUGAAAAAUCUAUUGUUUAUGGGUGAAAUAAGUUUUGCCACACUGUAAUGCACUCCUCAUGUAUUUUCGAAAAUCCAGUCCUACCUGUGAUAGCCUCUCCUUGUCCCAUCCAGAGCCAAUGAUGAAAGCCACUAGCUGUCCCUCCUCAAACCAACCCAGAGACAGCUCAGGGCACUGGCCCAGGAAGUUAAGCACUUCAUCAAGGGUAAGAGGGCACUCUCCAGACACCGAGACGAACGCUGAGGAGGGAAAAGAACCAGCUCAGACUGUGGGUCAAGCCCUGAGAGUAUAAUCAUGAUGAAGAUCAGGGAAAGACUAUAGGGGGAAAGCAAUUUCAUCUCUCUCAAGUUAGAACUGGCAGGGAUGAUAUUGAGCACCCAGAAGCAGGGUUUGAGAUACAGCAUAAUCCUUAUGUCAAACACAGACGGUCGAGUUCUAACAUGAACACACACUUCAGGGUAGUUUGAUGAAGCAGGAUGAUGACAUACCUUCUCUCUCAAUCUCAAACACACUGAUGGCGUCCUGUGGCGUGAGGUUCCUGAACUCACUGGCAGGGAGUGUGUGCCGUCUCUGCUGCAUUGGGCUGACCACUCUCAUGGGCGUCUUCAGGAAAAAAGGCUUGAGGAACGGUGAGCCGCUGACCUUCUGUGCCAUGAUGUCUUCACAAUUCAAAAAAGUAGCAAGCUGGACCUGGGAGAGAGGGGAGAAGAGCUGGAGGAGCAGAACCAGUCGUGCAGGUUUUUAGUUGGUGCUUCAAAGCAAUAGAAGUGGAUUUAAUUUGUUGUGGG